CACGUAGGGCGCAAGCGUUGUCCGGAAUUAUUGGGCGUAAAGAGCUCGUAGGUGGUUUGUCGCGUUGUUCGUGAAAACUCACAGCUCAACUGUGGGCGUGCGGGCGAUACGGGCAGACUUGAGUACUGCAGGGGAGACUGGAAUUCCUGGUGUAGCGGUGGAAUGCGCAGAUAUCAGGAGGAACACCGGUGGCGAAGGCGGGUCUCUGGGCCGAUACUGACGCUGAGGAGCGAAAGCGUGGGGAGCGAACAGG
rnacentral:rRNA from 1 species